rnacentral:rRNA from 1 species
UGGGGGAAUUUUGGACAAUGGGCGAAAGCCUGAUCCAGCAAUGCCGCGUGUGUGAAGAAGGCCUUCGGGUUGUAAAGCACUUUUGUCCGGAAAGAAAUCCUUGGCUCUAAUACAGUCGGGGGAUGACGGUACCGGAAGAAUAAGCACCGGCUAAUUACGUGCCAGCAGCCGCGGUAAUACGUAGGGUGCAAGCGUUAAUCGGAAUUACUGGGCGUAAAGCGUGCGCAGGCGGUUUGCUAAGACCGAUGUGAAAUCCCCGGGCUCAACCUGGGAACUGCAUUGGUGACUGGGCAGGCUAGAGUAUGGCAGAGGGGGGUAGAAUUCCACGUGUAGCAGUGAAAUGCGUAGAGAUGUGGAGGAAUACCGAUGGCGAAGGUAGCCCCCUGGGCCAAUACUGACGCUCAUGCACGAAAGCGUGGGGGAGCAAACAGGAUUAGAUACCCUGGUAGUCCACGCCCUAAACGAUGUCAACUAGUUGUUGGGGAUUCAUUUCCUUAGUAACGUAGCUAACGCGUGAAGUUGACCGCCUGGGGAGUACGGUCGCAAGAUUAAAACUCAAAUGAAUUGACGGGGU